CUUGUCUUCCUGCAUCCUUAUCCAUUAAGGGUGAUAACACUCUCCAGUCUUUUGUUCAUCAGCAAACCUUUGAGGCAUCAAUGCCUUGUCAUCUCAGAUGGAUGGUAGGACCAUGUACUUUGCAGUAAAUUGUAUUAUAUCAGCUGUUCCAGGACUUGCUGGUCGGUGUUAUACUGGAGGUACUCUGAUCUGUAUCUAUUCCAUAAGGUGUCCCAGACUUGUGAGCUCAUAUGUGGUUGUCAUAGAAACCUGGGGUCAUUAUGGUGACCGUUUUCAAUGGCUACCCAGACAAUGUCCUGGAAAGGAGAAUUCCUGCUAUUUGUACUGAGUGAGCUUCUGGGUUCCCAGAGGAGUUUGGCUCAGUGCUUGGCUGUGGACCUCUGAUUCUGCUUCGAUUAGCUACUGAAUGAAGGCUCUCGGAUGGCAUAUAAGGUUGUCAUCAAUUUCAUUGUAGGGGAAAGACAUUAAAGGUCUCACUGUGUGUGUUCAGGGGAAUGUGAUGAACUGGGAAGAGGAAGACCAUCAUUGCAUAACUUCCACUGAUGGAGUCUGCACAGUAUAAAAGCAAAGGAUUUAAUCUCUGCAUCCCAGAAGCUGGAGCUGGUAGAGAAGAGUACAUUGUGCUGUAACAUCUGUCAGACAGAAAGGGUGACUAGAACAUGGUGACAUUAUGGGUAGUAGCACAUGCCUUUGAUAUCAGCACAUGGGAGGCAGAGGCAGGCGGAUCUCUGCGUUUGAGGCCAGCCUUCUGUACAGAGAAAGUUCCAGUACAGCCAGGACUACACAGAGAAACUCCAUAAAAAUCCCUCCCUGCCAAAACUCCAUAUUUCAACAUUGGUAUGAGACAUACUCAGGAAUCUUCUUCUGACUGGGAUUUAAAGCAGGUCUCAUCACUGAAGGCCUCCCAAAUCUGCAGAGUCUGGGUCAUUGGCUCUGCACACAUAGCCACAGCCAGUACAACAGCAGCAUCCAAUCCCUUGUUGUUACCUUUGAGGAAGCUGGGGCUUCUAAGUGUGUUGUAUUAUUUUGCUUAGCUGAAAUCUGGAUUCUACUGGAAAUGAAGUAUUUAUACGUUACAUCUGACCACUCUAGGACUCUCAAGAAAAAAAAAAACUAAGAGAAGUAUUGCAAUGGGAGACCCAUGCAAAACUAGUAGAUGAGAUUAACAAUACAGACAAAACAUUGCCAUCGUUAAUGGAAACUGUUGAUUUUAUGUGUUAACUGAUUGAAUCAAGGUAAUCCAUUGUUUCUGGGGAUGUCUGUGAAGAUUUUCCUGGAAAAGAUUAGUGUUUGACUCAGUAGACAAUUGAAUAAAGGAGAUCUGCCUUCAGCAGUGUGGUCAGAAGCAUCAAGCCAACUGAAGGGCCCAGACAGAAGAAAAGCAUGGAAGAACUGUGCGCUGACACUCUACACUAGAGCCAGAAUGUUCUUAUGGAAUGGGUGAUGGUGACUCUCCAUGGAAAAUGCAGGGUGUCUGAGUAUCUAGAGAAAAGACAGGCAGUUUCAUUCCAGAAAGGCUUGUGCUGGGCUCAGCUAAUUCAGAUAAGAAAACUGACCCAGGACCUCCUUUCCUAUUGCACAAACCAACACAGAGGCCCUGUAUGCACAAAUUCACAGCUUCUCUACCAGGCUUUUACACUACCAGUGGGAAUUUUUCCACUGUAAACAUAGUGGGGCCUGCUACCACAUACCUCAGGGAAGUCUGCAGAUUCCAGAGCUUUCUGAAAUUCUUCAGAGUGCUGGAUUCUAAGCCCAUUUGUCACUUUGCAUGGGAGGAAUAAUGAAGGCUCCUACCGUGUUUGCCCCCUGCUUUUUCUUGAUCUCCUCUGCUGCCUCCUCUUGUAGAGCUGUGUGGCAAGAGAAGCUACUCAUCUUAACAGCUGUGAGGAAUGGACUCUUUCCAUUGCAAUGGCCACCUGAUCACUUACCCUCACCAUGCAGGAGCAGAAAUGGAAGGCACAUUGUGAGCACGCAGUUUCAAUUACUAAGGUGACCAUCUCGAGCAUAUGUGCAUGAAAAAUCAUGCACAAGAAUGGUCACAUGACAUAGCGACUCAUAUCAAAGCAGUCCCAGAUGACCUAACUCGAGAAGCCCCAGAAAUACUUUCCAGAAUGAAAAGUGGCCGUCUGCAUAUUAAUCUAUGGGUUCUUUGACAGCUACAUACAUGCCAACACUCAGUUGCUUUGCAUAAUACUCUCUAACCAUCCACAUAUGCCAGAAUCCUAAGGGCACUGAUCUCCCUGAGUGCAUGAGUGUGUGCCCCCCCACCCUACACCUCCCUCUGUUGACCCAACCUUGCCAAUUGACAAACUCCCUCUCGAGUCUUGCAACUCGUAUUUUGAUCACCAGAUGGCGCCUGACUAUUUUCAAAAUGCUAGUUUUUAACUCUAAAAAGGUAUACUUUUUGUGAACAGAAACAAAAAUACUUCUCAAAACCAGUAAUAAAAAAUUAAGUACCAACUUAAUUUGAUUCUCUUUGUGUAUUGUGUAUUAUACAAGACUGGGUGGAGGCACACACACACACACACACUUCCUUCGGCUAUAUCAUCAAUUUAUUUCUGGGCACUAGGAGUUUACACUGUGCCAGGUAUCAUCAGUCCAACCCCAUAUCUACACGUCUCACAAUUCCUUUUCUCCCUCUUUUGAUCUGCUUAUAAAGUAGUGGAUUCCCAUAAAAACGAUUCAAAAUGACUGCCAUCCACGCAUGUGUGGUACAACGUCACCUCUGGCCCAAAUUAUAAUUGAAAAUUGUACCGUCAAAAUAAACCUCGGGAAACCAUGGAAGCUUUUGACCCAUACUUCCCAUGGUGCUAGCUUUCAAGCCCCAACCUGCUCCUGAGUAUAUUUCACUUACGAAGAGGGGAGGGGAGGAUAAGCCCUGUGUGGUGUCAGUCUUGG
ensembl:lncRNA